UGGGCAACCUGCCCUCAGCUCUGGGAUAACUCCAAGAAAUUGGGGCUAAUACCGGAUAUGACCGCUGACCGCAUGGUCUGGUGGUGGAAAGAUUUAUCGGCUGGGGAUGGGCCCGCGGCCUAUCAGCUUGUUGGUGGGGUAGUGGCCUACCAAGGCGACGACGGGUAGCCGGCCUGAGAGGGUGACCGGCCACACUGGGACUGAGAUACGGCCCAGACUCCUACGGGA
rnacentral:rRNA from 1 species